rnacentral:misc_RNA from 1 species
UAUACCUGCACAGUAUAGAGAAGUGAGAAAAACUCAGUCGAGAAUUUUAGUCUCCAUACAACAGCCAACUUCAGUGCAUAUGAAGGUUUUUNGUAUUAACAAUAAAACGCCAUAGGAAAAAGACUUCUUGAAGAGAAGUGCUCCACCUGUCCACCGCUCUGUGUGUACAACCUCUAGGUCUGAUAUUUCCGGCUUGGACUUUACUACACGUACCACGAAACAAGACUUAUUAAUCAAAGGGACAACAAUAGAGGAGUCUAUACUUUGAAAGCACUCUCUAAUUUGAUAACUAAAAGAUAACCCAAGAGCUGAGCCGUCAAAUGCUGGUUUCUAUAAAGGGCGACAACUGACGGAAUGCGUCCAUGAAAAUCAAUUCAAAAGAUCAUUCCUCUCGAGCAACAAGCAACAUUACAUCGAACUCUUUAUUAGCAAGUAUGAACACCAUGGCUAACAUCACUGCAAAUGCCACUGGGAAUGCCUUACAAGCAGUAGUUAAUACGUUGGCCAGCAAUACGUUGAAUGCUACUGUGAAACCUUUAUUGAUGAAUACCCUGGCCAACAUCACAGCGAAUACUACACAAAGCACCUAUAUACCCACCAAUACCCUGCUCAACAUGACGGCAAAUUCUACAGAAAGUUCUGUAUUAGCGAGUACACUGGCCAAUGUUACCAACUCUACAUCGACCGCCGUUUUAAUGACACUGGCCACCUUCUCAAGCAAUUCUACACCGAGUACUUCAUUCGUAAAAACAAUGGCUGACUUCACGACGAGCAAUGUAUCAGAUACGUCGUUCCAAGCUACGGUUAAUACCCUUUUUAACGUUACUAACGGGACGGGCAUUCACGGUGGUAUGGGUGCAUUCAACCCUACUGUAUCGAACGUCAUUGCAGCGAUUUUCACUGGGAUCCUUAUCAUUCUUACUCUUGGAGGAAACUCUAUAGUGUGUGCGAGUUUCUACACUUUUCACGAUCUCAGGACGAUUUGUAACUAUUUUAUCAUAUCACUGAGUGUGGCUGAUAUUCUUGUGUCGUUGUUCGCUAUGCCGUUUUGGUUAGUUGUGCAGCUCAAUAGCAAUGCGUGGAAUUACAACCCAACACUGAAAGCCUUUUGGGAUUGUAUGGACAUACUAUGUGGUACUGCAUCGAUCAUGAAUCUCACUGCGGUAAGCUUUGAUAGACAGCUGGCAAUCACAUCCCCAUUCUCGUACCCCAAGAUACUGACAAGACGUCGUGCUAUCUUACUCAUAUGUUGCGUAUGGCUCUACGCUACGGGCAUGGCGUGUGCCAGACUGAUAGAGUGGCCCUUUCCAAGCUAUCUUCACUUCGUAGCAACUUUUAGUUUUUUUCUACCGCUGUCGAUUAUGCUCGUCAUGUACACUCGAAUUUAUCUAAUUGCUCGCUACCACGCACGUCGCAUUGGAAAGAACUACGCGAACGAUAUCAAAGCAGCCAAAACGAUAGCAGUCGUUAUUGGUGUCUUUACGUGUUGUUGGUGCCCAUUCUUUGUGGUCGUGCUUCUAUACGCAUACAAUGGGAGGGGGUACCGCAUGCCAUUUCAAAUCUACAAUUUGACCAAGUGGUUAGAAUAUCUCAACAGUUGUCUCAAUCCCAUUAUAUACACGUGUCUUAAUCGCACAUACAGAAGAGCAUUUAGAAAGCUAUUUACUCGAUGCCGGAAGAAAAUUCGCCGGGAGUCUGAGUGUUCAAGUGCAAGUACAUGGCACAACACUGAUCAAAGACAAUCUGUUUCGCAUGUAAGUGGCUACCCUUCGAACUUUAAAACAAGAACUUAUUUAGCAAAUGGCAGGAACGCUAUGUUACCGACAGUCGAUGAAGGCACUGAUGUAUGACCUCAUUAGGAAAAGGGGAAAGCUAAUAUAUAUGCAAUGAGUUUCGCUAAAUACUAUCUAUGUUAUGCAAGAAGCAAAGGAUGGAGCAGCUGCACCAUUGUACCUCAAAAAGAAAAGGGUAGAGGCUUUAUGGGACUAAUCUGACGCAACUCAGACUCUAUAGAAUGUAGGCACUAAGUAUAUAGAAGAUAAGGGGGUGUAUACCCCCUUUCUUUCCUCUUAUAAAGUCCUGUCUUCACAACCCCAUUGGGGCGACGAGAAACCUCAUUUCUUCAUGUAUUUAAAGCUGAAGAAACGGACGUGCUCUUUUAGGUUUAAAAAAUGUCUUUAGCAAAGAAUUCACGACGCUAGAAAACACUUUUGUAUUUCUCAUCAAUAGAAAAUAAAUUAUAUGGAAAAAAAUAAAAGAACGAGAUGGUAAUCUGAGUAGAAGCAAUAGGUUGGAACAAUCUGUGACCAUACAACUGUUUACCUCUACUUAUCUCCCAAUGAUAAAAAAUACAUAUCAAUCAACUAAAGGAUUUUUUCAAGUAAUGCCUGGAGAUCGUAACAUACUUGCGUCAGUAAACAGUUCACAAAUUACUUCAGGCACGCACUGUUAUUAAUUCAUCAAGGACAAAUAAAAUUAAAAAAGAGAGAAAGAAAGAAACGGGUUGUCAGUUCAAGAUAGUUAGUUUUUGUCAUAUUAUGAUCUUACAACACCAAGGCCAGUAUCUUAGGUCAAUCCUUUAUGUGUUUUCCUUUAUUAUGAUCCUGUGAUAUCCAUCAAAGAAAACUAUAGGGGACAAAAUAUUAUUCAAAUCAAAUGAAGUAUAAGCCCUACUUUGUUUUCUAAGUCAAGUAAGUCGUGUGUUGAGAUUCAAAAGACACUACUAAAAGUAUCAUUUGAAUCCUCAGUGGUGGUUUCAGAAAUCCAUUUCGACACUACCGCAAACUUCGUUUUGAACCCAGACAAACAAGCGCAAUAUGAUAGACGCGACUGAAUAAAGCUGACUAGUGCAAUGAAAUGAAAAAAAAAUCGGCAGGACAUUCAACAACAAAACGGUGGCUAUUAGUUUUAAUUACUCGCGUACUACGAUGUUUAAUAAAAACAACAUAGCAAAAAUAAUACACCUGUAAUAAACAAAAUGGCUCGGAAUUAAUGCUUACGAAAACACGGUGGGAAAAGACAUUC